CUGGGUGUGGCUCAAUUUGGUAGAGCGCGCGGUUCGGGUCCGCGAGGUUGCAGGUUCAAAUCCUGUCACCCAGA
rnacentral:tRNA from 1 species